rnacentral:rRNA from 1 species
GGGAUGGUCGGAGUAAGGGCGUAUGGAGGAUGCCUAGACACCAAAGAGCGAUGAAGGACGUAGCGUAGCUGCGAUAAGCUCCGGGGAGGUGCGUAGUAACCGGCGAUCCGGAGAUUUCCGAAUGGGGAAACCCCAUCGAGCAAACCUCGAUGAUCCUAAGAGCAAUCAAAGGAAGCACACCCGCUGAAGUGAAACAUCUCAGUAAGCGGUGGAACAGAGAAAAAUAUUGAUUCCCCAAGUAGCGGCGAGCGAAAAGGGAAGAGCCCAAACCUAGCCGGUGCGCAGCACCGGAAUGACGAAUUUUGAAUUUAGAAUUUCGAUUGAAUUUCUGAAUGUUUUAAUUUUGAAACAUUGUGAUUUGAUUCGAAAUUAGAAUUUCGAAAUUGGAAAUUCCGCUGCUGUGCAGCGGUUGGGGGUUGUAAGACAGAGAAACUUUUGUGUCCAGCCGUAGUUUUUCCAAAAACUACAGCUGGAUGCGAAAAAUUGGUUACAAAUUGUUUUGUUAGCUGAAAGACCUGGAAAGGUCUACCAAAGAAGGUGAUAGUCCUGUAAGCGAAAACGAAACAACCAAUUUUUCUGUUCUUGAGUACCUCGACGACAGAACGCUUCGAGGGAACCCGCCAGUACUAUCUGGCAAGGCUAAAUAUCUUUGGUGAUCGAUAGUGAACAAGUACCGUGAGGGAAAGGUGAAAAGCAGGCCGGUGAGGCCGAUGAAAUAGAACCUGAAACCAUACGCCUACAAGGACCUAGAGCCCGCAAGGGUGAUAGGGUGCCUAUUGAAGAAUGAGCCAACGACUUUAGGUGCGCGGCUUGGUUAAUCCGCCUUAGGCGGAGGAGCCGUAGGGAAACCGAGUGUGAAUAGCGCGUAUGCCAGUGCUUCGCACUGGAAUGACGAAUUUUGAAUUUCGAAUUUCGAUUGAAUUUCUGAAUGAUUUAAUUUUAAAACAUUAAGUCAUUCGAGUUUGAUUCGAAAUUAGAAUUUCGAAAUUGGAAAUUCCACUGCGGAGCAGUGGCUGGUCGCGCGCCUAAGACCCGAAACCAGAGCGAGCUUGCCUUGGGCAGGUUGAAGGCUGCAGAAAUGCGGCUGGAGGACCGAACCGGUGGGUUGUUCAACACCCUCGGAUGACCUGAGGUAAGAAGUGAAAAGCUAAUCGAGCCUGGUAAUAGCUGGUUCUCUCCGAAAUAGCUUUCGGGCUAGCGUCAUGCAUAAAGGCAUUAGGGGUAGAGCACUGGAUGGUCUGUAAAGGGCGAAAGCUCGACAGACCAAUCAAACUCCGAAUACUAGUGUCAAUCGGUAUGGCAGUCAGACUAUGGGGGCUAAGCUCCGUGGUCAAAAGGGAAACAGCCCAGACCGUCGUCUAAGGUCCCUAAAUACGUGCUAAGUGUUAAAGGUAGUAUCACGCCAGUGACAGAUAGGAGGUUGGCUUAGAGGUAGCCAUCCUUUAAAGAGUGUGUAACAACUCACUAUUCGACGGCGUGGUGCGCCGAAAAUGUACCGGGGCUAAGCACGUUACCGAAAACACGGAUUCUGUCCCGCCCAGGCGGGACAAAGUGGUAGGAGAGCAUUUCGAGCGCAGCGAAGGUCGACCCGCGAGGGCGACUGGAGCGCUCGGAAGAGAGAAUGUUGGCAUGAGUAACCGCAAUCUCAAUGAGAAAUUGAGACCCCGCAAAUCCAAGGUUUCCGUGGCACUGUCAAUCAACCACGGGUUAGGCGGCCCUAAGGCAAUGGUGAGAACCGCAGCUGAUGGACAGCAGGCUAAUAUUCCUGCCCUCCGGGCGCGUUGCAAGGGAGUGACGAGGGAUAUAAAUCCGAGUGCCUUAUUGGUUUGGCAUUCAUGGCGAGAGAUUUCCGAUCGCCGUGUGAAUGUCCGCCUAUGGCGGACAAACUCGGGUGAAGAGCUCUCCGAGAAAAGCUCCUAAGCGUUAACGCGUACGGACCCGUACCGUAAACCGACACAGGUGGAUGUGGCGAGUAGCCUCAGGGGAACAAGUGAUUCUUCCUUAAGGAACUCGGCAAACAAGCGGCCGUAAGUUAGCGAUAAGGCCUGCCCUUCGCAAGAAGGGCCGCAGCGAAAGUAUCUCUGGCGACUGUUUACCAAAAACACAGCUCCCUGCGAACUCGCAAGAGGAUGUAUAGGGGGUGACGCCUGACCGAUGCGAGAAGGUCAAGACUGGGAGUCUUGUGCAGUAAUGUGUAAGGCCCACUGGUUGAAGCCCUCGUCAAUGUCAGCCGUAACUAUAACGGUUCUAAGGUAGCGCAUUUCCUUUCCGGGUAAGUUCCGGAGCGCACGAAAGGCGUAACGACUGGAGAACUGUCUCAAGGAAGAGCUUGGUGAAAAUGCGAUUCCCGUGAAGACGCGGGAUACCUGCAGCGGGACGAAAAGACCCCGGGAGCUUUACUGUAGCUUGGUAUUGGCUUUAGAAGCGUGAUGCGUAGCGUAGUGGGGAGAGGUUGAAGGGCCAAUUUCGGUUGACCUGGACUCGUCAAUGAAAAACCCAUCUUUACGAUUUUAAAGUCUAACCCCGACGGCAAAAACGUCGAGGGACAGUGCCUGGUGGGCAGUUUAAAUGGGGCGUUUUCCUUAACGCGCCGACGACUCCGUGUCGGCGCAAGGGGGACCCGACCCUUCCGCAAGUUUGCGGAGGGAGGGAAAAAUCUGACGUAUAUGCUGGAACAUCCGUGGUAUCGGUUUGUACCUUUGUCGAAAGGGUAAAAAUCAGACCGUGGCAUCCGAGAUCAAACUUGGAUCGGCGGACAAUCAGCAGGCAACCGCAGCACAUAAGUAGGUGCUCGGAAGUCCUCAGAGACUAUCAGUUAGAGCGGCUCCAGAACUCGCGAGCCGUAUGAUAUAGUCCGAACUGUAUGGCGACAUGCAGGCCGCUUCGGCGGCACCUAAUACCAUGAGGUCAAAUGAAAUUGAAGAGCUCAAAAGGCAUCUUCAGUUAACACAAAAACAGAGAUCUCUUCUUGUUGGAAUGCUUUUGGGCGAUGGGCAUCUUGAAACACAAAAUCAAGGGAGAACCUAUCGCCUUAAAGUAGAACACUCCGUGAAGCAAAAGGAGUAUGUCGAUUGGCUGUAUGGGCAAUUCAGUGAUCUUGUUCGUACGCCGCCGCAUAUAAAGGAACGGCGUUUGGGCGCGAAAACCUUAGACAGCUAUUUCUUUGCGACAUAUUCGCUCGGAUCAUUUCGGUUCUAUGCCCGGCAGUUUUAUGCAGGGCGGAAGAAACUGAUACCGAAACUGAUCGGAAAACUGCUUGAUCCAUUGGCGCUUGCGGUAUGGUUUAUGGAUGACGGAUCAUUCAAAUCCGCCCGUCAUGCGACAUAUAUCAUCCAUGCACUUGGAUACGAGAAGAAAGAUCUGCGAAGAAUACAGGAAGUGCUUCAGCAAAGGUUUGGUAUUGCAAUUGGAUUACAUAAACAAUACGACAAGUGGCGUAUCUACGUGAUGAGCGGCUCCGCGCAAAAAUUCAAAGAGCUUAUCGCGCCGUACGUCAUACCAUCGCUUAAGUACAAAUUAGGGAACGAAAUGCCUAAAGAGUAACGGAGGAGUUUAUUAAGGUCGGCUUAGCCCGGAUGGAAAUCGGGCUGGACGUGUAAAGGCACAAGCCGGCUUAACUGCAAGACCUACAAGUCGCGCAGAUGCGAAAGCAGAACUUAGUGACCCGACGGUCCUUCAUAGAAAGGCCGGAGACAACGGAUAAAAGUUACCCCGGGGAUAACAGGCUGGUCUUGCCCGAGAGUUCCUAUCGACGGCAAGGCUCGGCACCUCGAUGUCGGCUCGCCCUAGCGCGGGGCUGGAGAAGGUCCCAAGCGUUUGGCUGUUCGCCAAUUAAAAGGGCACGCGAGCUGGGUUCAGACCGUCAACAACUGAACCGGGAGACAUCGAACACGGCGGCUUUCCAGAGCAAUCUGGAUCGAAAAAUCGACUCAUAUCGGUGAAAUCCUAUCAUGGUGAAACAACCUGUCAUAUGGUAGGAUAAUACCGAGGGAAGUUAUUUUUCCCCAAAAGGUCAAAAGCAGACUUAUAAAUUUAAUUCACCAUGGAUGAGUUAAGAAGAGCUCAAGAAGAUGAAAUGGAAGACCCAAAAGAGCUGGAAAUUCAGCAAGUUCUUAAACAGCUGGCUGAAUUUGAUGAAAAGAUUGAAGAGAUUAAUCUUAAUAAGCUUGGUUGGGUUGAUAAACUUAAGAAGUCAGGUGCCUUAGACAGAUAUCACGGAGAAAAAUAACCCCGUAGAGACUUUACUCAAAGUUGAGUAAGACUUACUUAGAAAAGUAGGUAAUACGUCGAUCCCCUCCGUCGCUAAAGCUAUGGAGGGUGGUGGUAUAGUCCAAGCAACGAGUAAUCGUUGAGUAAUUGCGUGAGACAGGUUGGUCUCUAUCUGCUGCAGGCGUUGAUACUUGAGGGGAGUUGGCCCCAGUACGAGAGGACCGGGCUGAACGUACCUCUGGUCUACCGGCUUUGCCACCAGGUGAACCGCCGGGUAGCUAUGUAUGGAAGGGAUAAGCGCUGAAAGCAUCUAAGCACGAAGCCCACCCCAAGAUUAGGUAUCGCCAGUGCGUGGCACGGUUCUAAUUGUUGUAAUGUUCCAGUGUUGUAAUUGUUUUUUGACAACUGCAACAAGGCGCGAAGCGCCGAUAGAACAAUUUGGACAGUUAGCACCGUGCUGCGCAUUGGCAAGGGUUCGUGGAAGACUACCACGUUGAUAGGCUCUAGGUGUACGCACCGUAAGGUGUUUAGCCAAGGAGUACUAAUACCCUCCCGACCAUCCCAA